rnacentral:lncRNA from 1 species
GUACUCAGUCUGGAUUGGCGGCUCCAUCCUGGCCUCACUGUCCACCUUCCAGCAGAUGUGGAUCAGCAAGCAGGAGUAUGAUGAGUCAGGCCCCUCCAUCAUCCACCGCAAAUGCUUCUAGAUGGACUGAGCAGGUGCCAGGCAUCUGCUGCAUGAGCUGAUUCUGAAGUAUCGAUUUGCCCUGGCAAAUGUACACACCUCAUGCUAGCCUCAUGAAACUGGAAUAAGCCUUUGAAAAGAAAUGUAUCCUUGAAGCUUGUAUCUGAUAUCAGCACUGGAUCGUAGAACUUGUUGCCGAUUUUUGACCUUGUAUUCAAGUAAACUGUUCCCUUGGUAUAUGUUUAAUACCCUGUGCAUAUCUUGAUUUAGUCCUUAGUUCAUGUGGCUCGGUCACUUGGUGGCUGGGGAGAUCUGUGGAAAAGUCAGUCCCCAGCCUAGUGGAUCUCUGUGAGCACCAUGUAGUGAUCUGUGCAGGGUAUUAACCAACAGCAGACUUCCAGGAUUUCCCGAGGCUGGCAAGGGUUCCUGAACCAGUUACCACUUCUUUUCUUGCCAGUCUAACAGGGUGGGAAAGUCUGAGCCUUAGGACCCAGUUUCUAUUCUGGUUUUUUCCCUCCUGACCGCCAUGGGUUGUUACUUGCCUUGAGUUGGGAACGUUUGCAUCGACACCUGUAAAUGUAUUCAUCCUUCUAAUUUAUGUAAGGUUUUUGUACUCAAUUCUUUAAGAAAUGACAAAUUUUGGUUUUCUACUGUUCAGUGAGAACAUUAGGCCCCAGCAACACGUCAUUGUGUAAAGAGAAAUAAAAGUGCUGCAGU